UCAGAGGAAGACGGGAUGACAUGCUGGAUUUUCAUGAGGGAACUGUUGAGGAUAGACUGUUAGAAUGAGUGCUUCAUAGGAAGAUUUAUGAGCGCUCCACAGGAUGCUGGAUCUGCUGAAGUUGUGUGAGACAAGACAGUUAAAAGUUACAGGGAACUGUUGAGGAGAGAGGAGGAG